rnacentral:rRNA from 1 species
UACAGAGGGUGCAAGCGUUAAUCGGAAUUAUUGGGCGUAAAGAGCUCGUAGGCGGUUUGUUGCGUCGGCUGUGAAAUCCCGAGGCUCAACCUCGGGUCUGCAGUCGAUACGAGCAAACUAGAGUGUUGCAGGGGAGACUGGAAUUCCUGGUGUAGCGGUGAAAUGCGCAGAUAUCAGGAGGAACACCGGUGGCGAAGGCGGGUCUCUGGGCAACAACUGACGCUGAGGAGCGAAAGCGUGGGGAGCGAACAGG